CCUACGCGAGGCAGCAGUGGGGAAUAUUGGGCAAUGGAGGAAACUCUGACCCAGCAACGCCGCGUGAAUGAUGAAGGUCUUCGGAUUGUAAAGUUCUUUUCGAGGGGAAGAAGAAAGUGACGGUACCUUAGGAAUAAGCCUCGGCUAACUACGUGCCAGCAGCCGCGGUAAUACGUAGGAGGCGAGCGUUAUCCGGAAUGACUGGGCGGAAAGGGUGCGUAGGUGGUUUGGUAAGUUAGUAGCGAAACUCCAGGGCUCAACCUUGGAACUACUACUAAAACUGUUGGACUUGAGUGCAGGAGGGGCAACCGGAAUUCCUAGUGUAGCGGUGGAAUGCGUAGAUAUUAGGAGGAACACCAGUGGCGAAGGCGGGUUGCUAGACUGUAACUGACACUGAGGCACGAAAGCGUGGGGAGCAAACAGGAUUAGAUACCCGUGUAGUC
rnacentral:rRNA from 1 species